UAUCACCUAAUAAUAUUGAAUUUGAAUUCUAUUAAGAAAAAAAUACAUAUUACCAAAGGAACUGGGCGUAAAACUGGCCCUGAAGUCCAUUGGAUUUCCUUACACAUACUAACCUAUAUAUUAUCUGAAUGUCUUUAAUCUCUGUAGGAGCCAAAAUUUCAAAAUCAGAAAGACUCUUAGAAACCAUCUUGUAAUUUGCAUCUUUUUACAGUCAAGGAAAUUGAGUUCCAUCAGAGUUAAGCAACUUGUCCUGAAACACAGAGCUGCUCGGAGGAAAACCUGAGCUGGCUCACAGUCCCGUGUUCUUUACGCCGCAUUCGCUGCUUCUGCCCUGUGCAGAUCAGGGCGUUGUUUAAUCCAGAGAGAAUCAGGUGUAACUGAAACAGCCAGCUGCAUUCCUUGUGCGGUUUAAUGAAGUGAGCCAACAGGGCUCAAACUCUGGCUGUGUUAGAAGUAAUAUUUUAUUAUUACAAGAAAAAUGUGUAAAGUAUUGAAACUGUGAAUGAUUAUAGUAGCGUGUUUUUCAUUGCAACUGAUAAAAAUCCCAGUUAGAACUAGCUAGGGCAAGAAAAGAGGCUGGUUUGAUGUUCGGGUUCUGGGCUGUCGCACAUAACUGAAGGAACAACCUCCUCACCAAAUCAAGGAGGAAGCUGUCUUCAAGAACAACAUGAACAGAAGUCAAGUAAAGUGGUGACUGUGGACGGCUGCUGCUCACGUGUGAGAAGUUACUGUGAAGGAGGCGAUACACUUCUCCUUUUCUCUGUUCGGAGUAACCCACUGCUUCCUUUGCCCUUUGUGCUUUCUUCACACCUCUUAAUGUGACUCAGGUCACUGUGCUGGGAGUUGGAGAUACUUCCAAAGGUGGACUAGAAACCCUCCCCAUCUCAUGAAAGUCAGACUCUACUGGGGUUGCAGACACGUGAGCGAUUACCAUACAGCCUGACAACUUGACUUUUCUCCUCACUAAACACAGAAUGAAACGAACAAGUGAAAACAACAGGGAAAUACAGAGACACUACCACAAAGCGACUGUUGUUUUGAUCCAGAUUGUUAGAAACUGACAAACCAGUGCUUCUCUGUUCCCAUUGCUGGGAAAUACAUCACCAUCAUUGUGAAAUUCUUGAGAUGCAAGCAGGUCAUCUUGUCUACUCCCAUGAUUUCAACAGGCUGCCCAUUACCACGUGUGUGACCUUUUAAGACCCAUCUCCCUUACUUCACUACAACCACAGAUUUGCUGGGACCCUGUGUAAUACUUUGCAUGUAGUAAGGUGCUUAAUAAAUGCUUG